UGGUGCUGGUGGUGGUGCUGGUGCACAUCGACACACAGCACACAGACUUCUAUUGACUGGGGUUGGGAGGCAGUCUCUCGUCAGAGUGUUUGUUUAUGCUUCAGAAGAUAAGACGAAUAUGCUCUACAAACAAUAAUUCAAUAAGCAGUGAACCACACCAUGUACCCUGUGUCUAUAGGAUGCAUUGCUACGAGAGAAGCUAACCCUGGCUGUGUCUACUACCGCGCACUUCGAGCACUGACUUUCAGUGUUCGAAGUGCGCCACUGAAAAAACCAGCAGAAUUCAGUGCACUGAAAGUACCCGGAUGGUGCACUGCAAACGGGCAAAAAAUGUAAAACGAUGGACACUACUCGCCCUAAACGGCCGCCAUCUUGGCUACGUAGCGGAAGAGGAGGAGCCAUUUCGCCAGCUUUUCAUUUUAUUUCUAAAACAAUGGCGGACAGCACAAGCGGUAGACCACGAAGCUACAGACCGUAAAUAGACGUUUCCUGGAGGUGCUGCUGGUCCUCUGCUGCCCUCCCGACAUCUGCAUCAGACUCCAAUGACCUCUGGCACCUCACCUCCAGGGCCUUUAAGAAGAUGGACCGCCAUCGCGUCUUCAGUAUCCAGAAGGACCUCUCCACAACACACCUCGCCUUUGACAGGCAGCAGUUGUAGCUUGGAGGUGGUGGUGACAGGCUGCCUGAAGGGGGUCAUGAGGCAGAUGGUUGGGACAGGCAGGGGGAGCCACCAUCCCCAAGGAUACAGUAUCCUGGUGGAGGGGAUGACUGCUCAUAGAAGAUGGGGCUGUUAUUCAGGACCCUGGCAUCAUGCACUGAGCCCGGGGCCUGUCGAAGGCCCUGGCCACCACCCGAUAGGAGGUGGCGCUGGCAAGCCAAAAAAUAAAAACUAGACAGGAGAUCUCGGGGCCCCAACCGUGGUCAGUCAGUGGCCAGCACAGCCAUGAGGGCGUUGAAUGACUCUGGUGAGCCUGAAGUCCACCCUCAUGUCACUGUGGCCACACAACACAACGCCAGCAGUGGCAUUGCAACAUGGAUACGGCAGCGCCGCCUGGGACUGGGUGGCUGCUGUAGAGUGUGGGGAGGAAGGAAGAUUAUAUUAAUAUGUAAGUCAUUUUAUCAAUAAAAUGUUGUCAUUGAGGUUUUGUAGUCUUUUAUUGCGUUUUCUGAUUUAUAUUAGAAUUGAUGCAUGUUUGUAACAAUAAUUAAUAUGCCUGUGUGUUCAAUUGCUCAUUGAUUCCUGUAUCAGGGUAAACUUCACUACAACAGAGAUGUGUAUAAAAGUACAGUCAGUCAAAGUAGGCCUAUUACUGUGUGAAUUCAAGCAGAUGAUGCCUAUCAUUUCAGUGGAUAAUUCUUAAAACUAAUUGGAAUCUAGGGACAAACAUGUACAGAGUUGUCAUGUUUUAUUUCCAUAUGGUGUGUAUGUGGAUUGCAAAGAAGAAGGCUACUUCUGACAAAGAUAAUUGAGAAUUUAGCAUACCUAGCGAGGAGAACUUAAUUGCAACUACUACAUGAAGCUAUGCUGUGAAGGUAAGGCAAAAUCACACAAUUAAACUUACAUAUACCAUC